GGCACUAUAGCCAAGUGGUUACGGCGACAGAUUCGAAUCCGGUUUGAUAUCUGUUCCUCUUUGAGGGCGCAGGUUCAAAUCCUGCUGGUGUCG